rnacentral:rRNA from 1 species
GUGGGGAAUAUUGGACAAUGGGCGAAAGCCUGAUCCAGCCAUGCCGCGUGUGUGAAGAAGGUCUUCGGAUUGUAAAGCACUUUAAGUUGGGAGGAAGGGCAGUAAGCUAAUACCUUGCUGUUUUGACGUUACCGACAGAAUAAGCACCGGCUAACUUCGUGCCAGCAGCCGCGGUAAUACGAAGGGUGCAAGCGUUAAUCGGAAUUACUGGGCGUAAAGCGCGCGUAGGUGGUUCAGCAAGUUGGAGGUGAAAUCCCCGGGCUCAACCUGGGAACUGCCUCCAAAACUACUGAGCUAGAGUACGGUAGAGGGUAGUGGAAUUUCCUGUGUAGCGGUGAAAUGCGUAGAUAUAGGAAGGAACACCAGUGGCGAAGGCGACUACCUGGACUGAUACUGACACUGAGGUGCGAAAGCGUGGGGAGCAAACAGGAUUAGAUACCCUAGUAGUCC